rnacentral:rRNA from 1 species
GACGAACGCUGGCGGCGUGCUUAACACAUGCAAGUCGAACGGAAAGGCCCUGCUUGCAGGGUGCUCGAGUGGCGAACGGGUGAGUAACACGUGGGUGAUCUGCCCCUUACUUUGGGAUAAGCCUGGGAAACUGGGUCUAAUACUGGAUAGGACCAUGCUGUAGGUGGUGUGGUGGAAAGAUUAGUUUCGGUAAGGGAUGAGCUCGCGGCCUAUCAGCUUGUUGGUGGGGUAAUGGCCUACCAAGGCGUCGACGGGUAGCCGGCCUGAGAGGGUGGACGGCCACAUUGGGACUGAGAUACGGCCCAGACUCCUACGGGAGGCAGCAGUGGGGAAUAUUGCACAAUGGGCGCAAGCCUGAUGCAGCGACGCCGCGUGGGGGAUGACGGCCUUCGGGUUGUAAACUCCUUCCAGCCAUGACGAAGCCCUUGUGGUGACGGUAGUGGUAGAAGAAGCACCGGCUAACUACGUG